rnacentral:rRNA from 1 species
GACGGAGGAUGCAAGUGUUAUCCGGAAUCACUGGGCGUAAAGCGUCUGUAGGUGGUCAAAUAAGUCAACUGUUAAUCUUGAGGCUCAACCUCAAAUCGCAGUCGAAACUAUUAGACUAGAGUAUAGUAGGGUAAGGAAUUCCGUGGAGCGUGAAUGCGUAGAGAUCGGAAGAACACCAACGGCGAAAGCACUCUGCUGGCCGACACUGACACUGAGAGACGAAGCUAGGGAGCGAAUGG